rnacentral:rRNA from 1 species
UACGUAGGUGGCAAGCGUUGUUCGGAAUUACUGGGCGUAAAGGGCUCGUAGGCGGCCAACUAAGUUGGAUGUGAAAUCCCCAGGCUCAACCUGGGAACUGCAUCCGAUACUGGAUGGCUUGAAUUCGGGAGAGGGAUGCAGAAUUCCAGGUGUAGCGGUGAAAUGCGUAGAUAUCUGGAGGAAUACCGGUGGCGAAGGCGGCAUCCUGGACCGACAUUGACGCUGAUGAGCGAAAGCUAGGGGAGCAAACGGG